GAACUUCCGAUGCUGGGAAGGAUGAGAAGCUUCGACUAAGGUUCGAUUCGAGCGUAGCGAGAAAGCGUUGCCGAAGGCGACGACCCGAAGGGCGAGGCGCAACGCGCCGAGUAAUCCUUCCCCCACCACCA
rnacentral:sRNA from 1 species